UGUAACUCUCUGUCGAUUUCCUUUUUAAAAAAAUCUAAGUCCCAAGAUCCACACGGCCAAGGACACGCUCGUGUAUCCAGGCCAUGUAGGUCACAAGGCCAUAUCGCACAGUCGUAUAACUCAUUAUUGCCCCCAUGUUAAGUCACACAGCCUAGGACACGCUCAUGUGUCAAAGUCAUGUGGGUUAAAAACCUGUAUAAUAUGAAGUAAAAAUAAGAAAAUUAGCAGUGUUAGUACUCGGGUUACGUCUCGAGAAGUGCUUAUUUAAAGUCUAAGCUUGACUUACCUCAUAUUCG
rnacentral:lncRNA from 1 species